UACGUAGGGCGCAAGCGUUGUCCGGAAUUAUUGGGCGUAAAGAGCUCGUAGGCGGCCUGUUGCGUCCGCUGUGAAAUCCCGAGGCUCAACCUCGGGUCUGCAGUCGAUACGAGCAGACUAGAGUGUUGCAGGGGAGACUGGAAUUCCUGGUGUAGCGGUGAAAUGCGCAGAUAUCAGGAGGAACACCGGUGGCGAAGGCGGGUCUCUGGGCAACAACUGACGCUGAGGAGCGAAAGCGUGGGGAGCGAACAGG
rnacentral:rRNA from 1 species